rnacentral:pre_miRNA from 1 species
AGCAAUUCUUGGCGCAUUCUACAGUAAUUUUAUAACAUGCAAAUGCGCCAUGAUUUGCACU